ensembl:lncRNA uncharacterized LOC114855951
GUCACAACAAAAUAUCUUAGUAUAUUAAAAGAUCAUAAGAACAUAAUUUAGGGGAAAAUUAAGAUAAGAACGAAAAUGAAACUACACCGUCCCAACUUAAAACAACCGCCAAUGCCGCCCUCUACUGGAGAAAAGCACAAAGACAGGCGAGCUGUGACAGCAGCUUCCGCUCAGUCGUGUAUUUAAUUUGAUAAAAGCAAACGGAUCAAUGCAUCGUCAGGACGUUUUUAGUCACUUUACUUUCACGCUGUACGAUGAUUUUUCAUGCCAUGAUUAUUGGCCGUAAUUACAUUAAUAUAUUCUAAUCAUAACAGGAAGGAAACGAUUCUGUUUCGCAGGUUUCAGCCACAUCAAACUGUGCAGGAAGCUGAGAGUGCGCGUGACGAGGCACCCCGGCGUCGGACGCAGUCAGUGCUGCGAGAUGCUGCUGCUGUGCUGGUCGCCUCUGCUGCUCUGCCUCUGCCUCCGCGCAGGUACUGUACAUCCAUGUGCUUCAGCUGGGGGGGGGCUGUAUGCGUCUGGGAGCGUCUUCAGCUCAGCGCUGACCCUCUGCACGUUUCGUCCCAGAGAACGUCGCCGUCAUCCGGGCACCGGGCGAGAACGUCACCCUGCGGUGCUCCCUGGACGGAUGCGCCCGCAGCGCCCACGGCUACGUCGGCAUGUACCUGUACAGGUACGCCGGCAGCCGGGAGGAGGUGCUGUACUACCACGGCGUGGACGGAGCGGACAAGGUCUCCGCGCGGGGCAGAUACACGCGCCGGGUCGAGAAGCAGGGAUCCCUGCGGAGCCACGGCAUCAGCAUCCGCGAGCUGACGGCGCGCGACUCCGGCGUCUACAGCUGCGUGUACAAGCAGACGCCGCAGGACGAGACCACGUGCAACGUGUACACGCUGGCAGUGAGCGACGCAGCUCCCUCUCCAGCGUCUCCCGAGCAUCCUCCCACGAACCCCCCCCACGGCGACACCCACGCGUGGCCGCCGCUGGCGCUGGUGACACCCGCCGCCGUCCUGCUCAGCGUGCUGCUGACCCUGCUCUUCGUCAAGGUCCUGGUCCCGUCGGUGAAACACUGGGCCAGCAGCAGCAGAAGGGCGAGAAGCGGCUCCUUGGACCCCAGCGAGUACGUGUAUGAGGUCAUGACUAAGAACGGCCUCCAGGCUGCGGCACCCAACCCGUACGACGCCGCUUAGCAAAAGUCCGCUUGUAUGAUAUGUUUUAAGGCGAAAUUCAAUCUAAAAUGCGUAAUAUAGAAAAUACAGGAGACCUCUUAAAGGAGCUGUGGAAUUGCAGACCUGCACAGUUCUGUUUGAAAAAGACAUGAAACGAUGGUUUUUGUGUGUCAGCAGGAAUCAUUGCACACAUGCACAUGGAAAAUGUAUGUAUGAAACAGAUGCAGUUUCCUUCAUCAGAUUGCAUUUUGUAAACUGAUAUCGCUGUAACCACAUGCCUGUUUGUGACGCGCGGUGGUUUUCUUUGGUUUUUAUUAGAAGCGACGUUGGUCGGUAAACGGCAGGAAGCGAAAUCUAAAGGAGAGUAAAUAACGCUUAAUAAGGUCAAAACAAAUAAUAUUUUGGGUUUCAUCGUGUUUGCUCUUGAGCCUUGUGUGUUUUGAAGGACAUAUUCACAGCUGACCAAAACUUCCUGGUCUUUGUUUCACACAGUCAAAACACCAGCAUCGGUGAAAUCUCUUAUCAUGUUUGUGUCGUCUCCUCAGUCCGUUGAACUGAUUGUCUGAACCACAGGCCUUUUACAACGCAGACAAGCCUGCAUCACAGGAAACACAGGCUGUGAACGCAGGCUUUACAGCAUCAACACAAAACACAGGAAACAUCAUCUUGGACUUGGAAUUUUGCUUUUAACAUCAUAAUAACCGCUCAUAAUAAAUGUAGUGGUAAAACGUGCUGUGCA